CCUCCUUUCUUCUUCCUUGGGGCAUCUUGGGCAAUGGGCGCAAGCCUGACCCAGCAACGCCGCGUGAAGGAAGAAGGCUUUCGGGUUGUAAACUUCUUUUCUGGGGGACGAACAAAUGACGGUACCCCAGGAAUAAGCCACGGCUAACUACGUGCCAGCAGCCGCGGUAAUACGUAGGUGGCAAGCGUUAUCCGGAUUUAUUGGGUGUAAAGGGCGUGUAGGUGGGAAUGCAAGUCAGAUGUGAAAACUAUGGGCUCAACCCAUAGCCUGCAUUUGAAACUGUAUUUCUUGAGUGCUGGAGAGGCAAUCGGAAUUCCGUGUGUAGCGGUGAAAUGCGUAGAUAUACGGAGGAACACCAGUGGCGAAGGCGGAUUGCUGGACAGUAACUGACGCUGAGGCGCGAAAGCGUGGGGAGCAAACAGGAUUAGAUACCCCGGUAGUC
rnacentral:rRNA from 1 species